rnacentral:rRNA from 1 species
GACGAACGCUGGCGGCGUGCUUAACACAUGCAAGUCGAGCGGUAAGGCCUUUCGGGGUACACGAGCGGCGAACGGGUGAGUAACACGUGGGUGAUCUGCCCUGCACUCUGGGAUAAGCCUGGGAAACUGGGUCUAAUACUGGAUAUGACCUCAGCAUGCAUGUGCUGGGGUGGAAAGCUUUUGUGGUGCAGGAUGGGCCCGCGGCCUAUCAGCUUGUUGGUGGGGUAAUGGCCUACCAAGGCGACGACGGGUAGCCGACCUGAGAGGGUGACCGGCCACACUGGGACUGAGACACGGCCCAGACUCCUACGGGAGGCAGCAGUGGGGAAUAUUGCACAAUGGGCGAAAGCCUGAUGCAGCGACGCCGCGUGAGGGAUGAAGGCCUUCGGGUUGUAAACCGCUUUCAGCUCCGACGAAGCGCAAGUGACGGUAGGAGCAGAAGAAGGACCGGCCAACUACGUGCCAGCAGCCGCGGUAAAAC